GAUGAACGCUGGCGGCGUGCCUAAUACAUGCAAGUCGAGCGAAUGGAUUAAGAGCUUGCUCUUAUGAAGUUAGCGGCGGACGGGUGAGUAACACGUGGGUAACCUGCCCAUAAGACUGGGAUAACUCCGGGAAACCGGGGCUAAUACCGGAUAACAUUUUGAACCGCAUGGUUCGAAAUUGAAAGGCGGCUUCGGCUGUCACUUAUUGAUGGACCCGCGUCGCAUUAGCUAGGUGGUGAGGUAACGGCUCACCAAGGCAACGAUGCGUAGCCGACCUGAGAGGGUGAUCGGCCACACUGGGACUGAGACACGGCCCAGACUCCUACGGGAGGCAGCAGUAGGGAAUCUUCCGCAAUGGACGAAAGUCUGACGGAGCAACGCCGCGUGAGUGAUGAAGGCUUUCGGGUCGUAAAACUCUGUUGUUAGGGAAGAACAAGUGCUAGUUGAAUAAGCUGGCACCUUGACGGUACCUAACCAGAAAGCCACGGCUAACUACGUGCCAGCCGCCGCGGUAA
rnacentral:rRNA from 1 species